GAAAAUUCUGGCCUAACUCCCAAAAGUGACAAUAGUAACUGAGAUUUUAAAAUGCAGAGUGCUGGCUGAUUUUUGCUUAUACCUGUGAAGUACUUGAGAUUGAGUACUAUUAGAUAAGCUGCUUUCUUCUGCUAUGAUGGGAGAAGAUGGAAAUUAUCUGGCCCAAUAGUUAGGUAUGAGUAUAUAUAGAUUUGAGACUUUAUGAAUAUAGCAAACAUAGGUGUGCUAUUUGUAUCAUGCAGAGUAUACCCCAUACUAAAUUUCUUGAGUGUUUAGUAGAUGUUGGAAGCUUACUGGGGCCAUUUGUGCCUGAUUUUGAGGUGCCUGUUUGAAAUGCUUGAAAGCUAUCAAAGAACAUGACUGCUUCCUGGAAAGCUUAUUAUUUAAUACCAGAUCUGUCCCUUGUGCAAUUGGCUCAUCCUUCUUUUCUCUAUUAGAGACCUUUGUCCAGAAGAACACGUGAAAUUCUCAUCUACAGCCUGUAAUUUUUGUCUGUGAAUUUACAAAUGACUACCAGAAAAUUCUGAGUUCACUCUAUGGAGGGGGGAAAAAUAGUGGUAGAAAUAAGCUGUCUUGGCUGAGGUCCAGGUACAAUAUGGGUUGAAACACACUAGUAAAAACUGUUGGUCUAGAGGGUAACGCAAGGAAUGGAACACAAAUGUCAAAUUUGAAUUGUCUUCAGCUUUCCUGCAAGGUAGCAGCUGGUCUUUAAUGGCUUUAUUCAUUAAUCAUUUAACAGUGUUUAUAUUGGCAUUUUAUUUUAGCUUGCUUAGGAGCACCACAUUAUAAGCACCUUAAAAGCAUUUUGCACAAAAGCAGUUGUAAGCAGCUGAAGAUAAUUUAAGUUCUUCUCAAUGUGCAAAACAAAGGUGAUAAGAGGAAGAAUGUGCAAAUGAGGUUGAUAUUCUGAUUCUUAGCAAAGAGUUUUAAACAUCUGUAAGGUUAUCCUUUCUAGGUUUGUUUUUUUUAAAUCAUUACUAGCCUGUAGUGCUAACGGUACUCCUGGGGCAAAAGCAAGGUUUUAGUGACUACAACAUUAGAAAUCUGUCUUAUCACAAGGAAAUCACAUGGAGAAGCAUCUUUGUUGCAUUUAAUGAGACCUAUGUACUGUAGUAUGCUGAUUUUAAUCCUUAAAUCAUUCUGGGGGUAGGGGGGAGUGAACUUGCUGUGAAUAUUUCAGCAUAUCAGUUUUGAAACAUGUCAGAUAUGCAGGGAUACAAGAGAGUUUACUUUAAUUUUGAUAUUUCUUUUGGAAUUUUACGUACUCUUUUUCAAACUUUUGUUCAAGUACUGAUGCUCAUGGACAGACUGCAUUGUCAGUUCAGUGUGAAAUGGAAUAACGCUUGAAUGUGCUCUUGGAGUGAAAGGUCAGUAACGUUUUAUAUGGUCUCUGCACAGUUCAAGAUUACAAGCUACUUAGGAUCUAAUACAGACUUUGUAAAAGAGUGACUUUUUUUAUUUUUGAUAAAGAAAUACGAGUACUACUUAAAAGAAUUUCUGGAGAACUAAUUACUGUCAAAUGAGCUUAUAUUUUGGGUGUGGUGUCUUUCUGCCAGCAAGAUAACUUCUACUCUGGCUUUGGUAAUAGCAGUUAAGUGCUAGAUCUCAAGAGCACAGAGUCAGAUACAGUUCUUGCUGAAGGGAGUAGAUAACCUUCAGACAUAAACUGUAGCUGGAGCACCUACCUGCUGUACCUGCUUCUCCUUCACCUCACCCCUUCAAUAUUGCAAUUAUUAUCUUCAGUUUUCCUUUUGAUGAAAAGUGAGGAACUCUGUUGUAUUCCUGUAUUGUAUUCAAAAGCUGUGCAGCGGCAUCAACAUCCACCAGUGGUACGUAAUGAAGAGUGCCCAAACCAGAGGAAUCAGCAUGGGUAGAUUGAUUUAAGCCACUGUUUUGUGGCUUGCCUAAAUGCUGUUGUUAGCAUGGUGUAUAUUUUUCCUAUUACGCCUGAAACUACUAAAUUAUUUCUGACCCUGUAAAAAGCCUAAGUAGGUGCUCUAAGCAUACUAUCUAGUUGAGGCCAAUGUUCUGUGGUUUUAAAAGUUCUUCUAGCAUUCAGAGAAGGCAUCCAAAACCUCACACACAUCACUCGUGCAGAGCUUGAGUAGUCUUCCAUAUUUUAAUUCACUUUCCAAAGCUAACUUUCAUGUAUGUAUUGGAGAAAUUAACUGAAAUGUCCUGUAGUUAAAAUUACAUCUAGCCAAUUUUAACAAUUGGAAGUUACUUGCAAUAUGCACUGCUCAUUUGCAGUGACACAUCUCUCUCUGCCCUCAAAUUUUGCAAUUAAAAAAGCUGGGGAGCUUGUGAGGAUUGAGUGAAAUUAAAUAGUAAUAUAGUAAGUAUAUUGGUUUGUAUCAAUGCAAUUAGACUAAAACAUCAAUGCAAUUAAGGGGAGUUCACGUACUUGUGUAGCACUUAAGUUUUUUUAGACCUCUCUAGACUAAAACUUUACUAAUGUUUGUGGGAGGGAGGGGAGGAGAGGAGCAGGUUUCUCAAAGUUUUCAAAUGGCUUCUUAAGUUAUUAUUAUGAGUCCUUACGUAAUGUUAUCAGAGCUCUUUUUUUCAUGUUUCUCUGUGACAGUUCACUUUUCUUAAGUAUGUAUUGGUACCUACGGGUAACAUACAUACACUGUUGUUCAUGUACCAUCCUUCUGCAUUAAUGCCUCUUUAGUUGCAUAUCCUCAGUGUCUUUUCUUAAAUGUACUCCCCUGGAUUAAUUUGUUGUUAUGCCUGUAUUUUCCUUUGGGAAUAAAAGAAUGAAAGCAAGUUAAAGAAAAUAAAACCCUAGGGUUUAGCUGUAGUUGACUUGAAUAUUGUAGUAACUUAUGUAACUAGAAGUCCCCCCUCCAAUUAGUCAGUGACUGGCUUUCUUGAGACUUUUCUGUGUAAAGAAAGCAACUUUUUUUGAAAGCUUUAAAUGAUCUUUAAUGGUUAAGAUUUGGGAGAUAGCUUAUUACCGGUAAUGAGUUUGAAUAACAUUGGAUCCUGGUUUGGGUUUUUUGUGUGUGUGAGAACUAAAAACAUGCUCAAGGUGGAUCUCCUUUGCAGGACAAAGUGUUCUUAUUUUGUGUGUUUUGCAUUAGGCUUAUAAGCAGCAUUGGCUAAGUAAUUGUGUUGUCAUAAUAUCCCAAGCACUUUGGCAUCUUGCACUGAUACUCUGAUUAGAGCUAAAAACUAUUCUGGCACGUGACUGGCUAUAAAUCUCAAUAUAUGAAAGGGCAUUAAUUGAAAAUGGUGUGCAAUGAAUCACAUGCUCUCUGAGGUACUUAAAAGAUGAAACUAUACAAAAGGUCCCCGUUAUCAGAUAUUGUAACUCAUUUCUUUCUCUAAGCAUAUUGUGGAUUUUGUAUCAUAUUGUAUUUAUUUCAUUAAUUUUAAAAGUUUUCUUUAAAGCUCUGUAUAUAUUGACAUUAAAGUUUGCAUUGU
ensembl:lncRNA